UUAGUCUUUUAAUUGGAGACUGGAAUGAAAGAGUAAACCAGGAGAAUUUUUUUAAAAUAAAACAAACGAAUUUUACUUUUUAGUAAGAAGGCUAAAAUAAAUCUUUUAGACAAGAAGACCCUAUAAAACUUUAUAUUUAAUUCUCUUAUUUUGAAGAAUUAAAUAUUUCACUGGGGCGGUGAGAAAAUUAGACUUUUCUCGAAAAAAAAAAGAACAAACAAGUUUAAAUAUCUAGAAAUUCUGAAAAGGAAAUAAGUUACUUUAGGGAUAACAGCUUGAUUUAUUUUGAAAGUUCUAAUUGACAAAUAAGUUUAUGACCUCGAUGUUGAAUUAAAAUUCCCCUUUUGUGCAAAA
rnacentral:rRNA from 1 species